UUGUGGAGGAGGACGCCGAAGGUGGGGCUAAUGACUGGGGUGAAGUCGUAACAAGGUAGCCGUACCGGAAGGUGCGGCUGGAUCACCUCCUAACAGGGAGACAACAAAAUGUUAAAUAUUAAUUUUGUCACCUUAGGUCGAUCGGUACCUCAAAUUCUUAAUUUAUUAAGGAUUUUAUUUCCUAAGUUUUUUCUAGGUCACACCCAUUAUUUUCCCUGGGCCAUUAGCUCAGGUGGUUAGAGCGCACCCCUGAUAAGGGUGAGGUCCCUGGUUCAAGUCCAGGAUGGCCCAUAUCUCUAUGUUGGGGGUAUAGCUCAGUUGGUAGAGCGCCUGCUUUGCAAGCAGGAUGUCAGCGGUUCGAGUCCGCUUACCUCCACUGAUCACCACCUCUUCCAUAUUUCAUAGAAGGGAAAUGUUUUGAGAUGUGAUCAAAAUCUGAACGAAUCUAGCUUCCUAAUAGAACUUAUUAAGAUGCUGGACUCAUUGAAUUAAAUUCAUUGUUUUCAGAGAACCUUGACAACUGCAUAGAUUAUUUUUAAAGACAAUAAGCAUCUUUAAUGAUGCAGAUUUAUUAUUUGUGCGAAUGCAUUAAUAACAAUUCUAUUGAGCUGAUGCUUCAAUUUUUUUGAAGUUAUUGGUCAAGCUACAA
rnacentral:misc_RNA from 1 species